rnacentral:lncRNA from 1 species
AUGCGGGCAUUAGAUCUGCUUUCAAUUUUUGGAAUGAUGCAUAAAGGAUUAACGGUAAUCAUGUUCCUCGGAACAUACUGGUUUCUGAUUAAGGCUAUCAUGUUCUGUGUUGGAGUUGUGUGUACAUAUAACUACAUAAUGGCGCUGAUGGAGAUACCGGCCUGGUGCUUGUACCUCCCGGAGGGAGUGGCUAGUUUUACAAACAGCACCGUGGUGAGGCUGGCUUCCAGGUUCUCCCCUCAGUUCCUUACGCACCCUUGGAAUUUCAAUCUAGCAAUCGUGAUACCAAUUGCUUUGAAUGUUUUCCUCCUAUUAAUAAUUUACAUUAUGUGGAGGAAACUCUCCCCAAAACUGGAAAAUGCUGAGUGGCAGGGAAUAUGGAGAGGCCUAGGGAAAACCCUAGAAACAUGGGGACCCCCGGUGUCAUGGGAUUUCACCCUUGAACACCUGUGGGAUCCUGAGAAGCUCGGUCAGUUUUUGAGUCAGGGAUGGCGCGGCCUAGGCAGAUCUGAGGAGGCACAACUUAUUUGGGGCCUGGCUUGUGCUUAUCGAGCUCUAUACAACGCUGUUCUUGAGAGAGAGAGUUUCCCAGCUGAAAUUCGAACCAGAGGGGGAAGCCCCCAGGCUAAACCUGAGCAAGCACAGGAGGCACCAGUAUCGGUGGCAGUUGCUCCUGUGGAACGACAGAAAUGGAAAUGGGUGUCUUCGUGUCUGGAACGGAAGGAAGAAGCGGAGAAGGUAGAGGAAGAUUCAGGCGAGGGGCCCUCCCCGAACGCAUCGUUACCAACAAAGGCAACCGAAGAAAACAAGAGACAUGGAGAGGAUAGGGAGGAGGAAGGCGUCACUGUUACAACUGUCCACCGACCUCUGAAAAUGACCGAAAUCAUAGGCUCAAGAAAGGAGUUUAUACGGCACCCAAACGAAACCAUUGUCACCUGGAUGCUUCGGUGUUGGGACAAUGGGGCCAGCAGUGUGCUCCUGAAUGGUAAUGAAGCUCGCCAACUAGGGAGCAUUGCCAGGGACACAGGCAUUGACAGAGGGAUCAGUAGAUGCCUGGAUGGAACCGCCACCCUUUGGGAACGAGUGUUAGUAGCUGCGAAGGAAAGGUAUCCCUUCAAAGAUGACCUCGAGCCUCAGAUGAGAAAGUGGGACACUGCUGAAAAGGGCAUUCAGUAUUUGAGAGAAAUAGCUGUGGUGGAAAUGCUGUAUGACCCCAGGUUUGUUCCUAACAACCCACACCAGCAGCAUGAUCCCGAGAGAAUUAGAAGUACGCCGGAUAUAUGGUGGAAACUCACCAAAACAGCACCAGCCCAGUAUGCCAGUACACUGCUAGCCACAUUUGAUAGAUUGGAGGACCUACAGAGAAGGCCCCCUGUUUAUGAACUGAUUAUUACACUCCAAAAUUAUGAGCAACAACUCCCCCCAAACCACGUUUCCAUUUCAGCUCAGAGGUAA